UUUGAUAAAAUCUUUAGUCAUCAAAAUGUUUACUUACCUUUUACAUGAAUGAAACUAUGGUGGGAAACCCAGAUUACGUCUGAAAACUUAUCAAAAUGAACUAAGUAGUAGGUAAACUGUAUCAAUCUCAGAUCAGAUACAAGGUUGAAAAAGUAAUAAAUCUUUAAUCGCAACAUUUACUUAGGUACAUCAAUAUUCAAUUGGAAAUUCCCCUUUCAAUACCUUAAACAGCCCAAAAAUUCUCAAUACCGAAAGGAUGAAAAAAAUUCCUUGCUUUUCACAUUAUGAAUGAGUGAAUGUUUAUAUGAAAUCGUCAUGACAAUGAAUAACACUUUUCUCGCUACAUGUUUUAGUUGCGCUAACAUUGAAAUAAUAUUUUAUUAAUUCUUUUUGAAUUUGGAUAAAAAUAUUUAAUAUGAUAUCGGAGGAUUGUGUUGAGAAAUUAAAAAGAAUGCGUAUAUUAGAACGAGAAAGAAGACAACGAAUUUUCAACGAUAAGCAACGAUUGAUUGGCGUAAGUAUUGGUUAUUUCCGAUGCCUUGUAUUGAGCUAUGAGCAUACUUACGUCCAUAAAAAUGUGAGAUUUAGGUGGAUAAACACGCAUUAGACGAACAAGUCAGAGAACGAAAACAAACCGAAGAAAGACAACAAAGAGACGAAGAAAUAAUGCAAAAAGACUUAAUCAACUGUAGUCUGAAAGCUAUGGAAAAAGAACAAAUAAUGAAGCAUUUAGCUUACAGAGACGCCGAAUAUCAAAGACAGCUCCAAAACAUCUUACUAGCCAAAGAGCAAAAAUACAGAAACCGUAUAAUAAACCAAGAACCUUUAACGAACAUUCCAACAGACGAUUACUACAAUUAUUUCAACACGAGUAGUAGAUAAAUAACAACCUUAUAUUGAUAAUGGCAACAUUUUAAUAAGAACUAAUUAAUCCUAGAUCGGCUAAGUUGAGUAUUGAAUCGGCAAUUAUUUUGGCUGUACAUUUCAAAUAUCCGCCGCUUGUCAGCAUCACGAUGGGUAUUCUUCGUUCUCGAGCUUUCAUAAAAACUAUUUUAUCUCUUUCGAUGAUUCCCUAAAAAUGAUUUUUUUUUUACUUUUAAUAAAAUGUAUUUGAGAAUA